GAUCUCAGCUCAAACAAGGGGACCCGCUGAACUUAAGCAUAU
rnacentral:rRNA from 1 species